GUGCAAACAACAAAAAGAAAGCUGCUAGCCUCUCAGCUUUUGUUAACAGGACACUUCACGGCAGGUACUGCUUACAACACAAUAUCACAUAUUUGUAAUCCUGUAAAGCAAAGUUGUGUCUGGUCUGGUGUCUGGUUUGCUAUCUUCGUGGGGACAUCCCAUUAACAUAACCCUAACAUAACCUAAUUGUAACCCUGACACUAAAACCACAUUUUGAGUCUCAAAAAUGCCUUCAACCCCAUGGGAUUUUGGUCCCCACCAAGAUAGUAAGAACCUGUACACGCAGACACACACACACACAUGCACAAACACACACAAAUGCACAGACACACACACACACACCGCUGAGGCUGCAGGGAUCUGGAUGCCAGUCCAACAACAGUACGAGUUCCUCCGUGUGUCCCUGCAGUGACUCCAGAACAAAGGCCUCCAGUGUGCGAUGCAGAGUUCUGCUCUUCUCUGUGUCGAGCUGAUCUGAUUGAAUAAAAGCUCCACGGUAUCCUGUUCUGGCUCCAUAUAAUCUUUCUAUACAAGAUAUACUUGUUUUACUGUACUCCUCAUGUUUUAUACAUAAUGUUGUGACUAUAUUCUGUGACCAUGGUGGGCAGAUAACAUCUCUCUGUAAACGCUGCUCCUUCCUGUACUGUUGUUUGCAAAGGAAAAUCAAGCCUCACAGAGACAGUGGCUGUGGAGUCAGACGGCCUUUCCAACCUCUGACCUCACAUCGUUGGGAGACAAGAAGACCUGAGACGUUUGGACCAUCUCCACUGGAAUUUUCAUAAACAGACCACAUUGUCCUUGUAACAGAUAUGAAAUAAACUGGGGGGUGUAACAGGACGGCCCUUAGCGGCUGGAAACACAGUGAGACGGACCGAGGCAAGUGUAGUGGAACAAAGUAUUUAUUUGCUAUACAGCUCUCCUUACAACAAUUAACUUAUUGAGCUUCUUCACAGCACAAAAAUCCAUCCUCUAAUGAAGCCUGGCAGCCUUAAAUAUGUUCAGCUAUCACAGACUAAGCCAUUAUUCCACUCUCAGGUAAAUUCUUAAAUCCCAACCUUCCACCACAGUAUACAAUAUAUCAAUAAGAAUAAAUAAAUACAUAAAUACAUUUUCACAUUUACAUAUUAAUAAAUACUUCACACUUUAAUGUUACACCAAACCCAAUAUUAUAAAAACCCAGAAACCCAAGCACAACAAGAUUCACCACACUCUCUUUACCAAUGGUCUCUCCCGGAACCUUUAAAUGGUGUCUGGCCCCCCGGGGAAACAUUUGCCCAAACACCUUGAAGAGGACACAGGCAAGAAAGACAACCACCACAUUCCUUGACGAGGAGCAGCUGUGCAGGAUCUGAAAUAAGGCUACCAACUAAUUUUAAAAUUCCCAAUAAAUAGUCAAUAAAUA